GCAUGUAUCCCUUCAUCUUGAUCAUCACUGGAAAAGGCGAGAGUGUACAAAGUUAAACAGCAAAAAUAUAGCUGACGCUUGUCUUCUUUCUCUCUCCACAAACACAGACACGAAUUCUCUCUAGUUUCUCCAGGGGGUGAUAACAGCAAGGCUCCUUCCCUCUGGAAACAUAUACAAUUUUGCUGGAGUAAUAAAAACACCAAAGAGGAGAACCAGCAGCAGACACAGGACUGGUUUGAUUUUAUUUUCUCACCUCUGUGGAGAGCGAAGCAGUAAAAUCUUUCAAGAGGCCUGCGUCUGGGUAUCCCGCUGCUGCCUUCAGCCCCAUCUCCUGAGCAGUAGGAGUGGUGGCUUCACAGCCUUUUCAAGUUAUUCAGAAUCAGUUUCCAGUGUGCAAAUGUUAUCUAGAAGCAUGAAGACAGCUCUGGGAAAAGAAACAGCUUUGCAUCAACAUGAGACACAGCUCAUAUUCUCUUUUACAUGAGGAUGUAACUAGCUCUGUUUUACCUGACGUGAAUGUAAAUUGAUUUUCCUCCUCGUUCCCAUGAUGAAUUAUCUUCCUCAAGCUGUGCUACUGAGUGGUCAGAAAACACAGAAAGAAUGUGUCAGGAGCUUGAAGAAGAAGCAAAACAAUGGCCAUGUGAACAGAACAUGUGGAAAAAUCAGAACACAAGAAGGAGAAAAGGAGCCAUGAUGUUAAAGCACUAGCUGGCAAGGAAGAGUAGAAGGAAUAAAAUACUUCCAUUGUCCAGUGUUCGAAUACUACUCAUAAAAGCUCAAGUGGGGUAUGUGCUCUCUUUGUUAUUCAUUUUUCAAAAUGGGGAGUCAUCCAAGCAUGACCUGAAGCAGAGAGUCUCCUGGAUAAUAGGAGCCAUAGGUUUGAUUCCGGAUAGUAU